GAGACUCCAUCUCAAAAACAAAAACAACAACAACAAAACCCCCAAAACUCUAUACUGUGUAUAUUAUGUUUUUUUCUGAUCUGAUAACCAAGAUGGCUACGAAGUGACUAACAGGCAGGUAACAUAUAUAGAGUCGAUAUGCUGGACAAAAGGAUGGCAUGGGAUGGUGCAAGAUUUCAGCAUACUUGUCAGAAUGGUGCAACACUUAAAAUGUAUUCAUUGUUCCUGGAAUUUCCCGUUUAAUAUUUUCACACCACAGUUGACCAUGAGUAACUGAAACUGCAGAAAGCAAAACCUCAAAUAAGGCAGGACUGCCAUGAUGGUGGGGAUGCAGAGUGUUAUACAAUGUUAAUGUGAAAAGCGGAUAUUGAUUUUUCCCUUGAAAGAAUUGUUACUUGCCCUAGGGUCAGGGCAUGGAGGUGGAGUGGUACAGGGGGAUGGUAAGGCAGAGACGGAGAAGGGUGAUUCUGGGACAUUUGGCAGAGAAUGGAAACUUCAGCUCCCUGCCAGGCUGGGAGUGUUCUAGGGCAGGGGUGCUUUGGAAAUGGUGGCUUUGUGAGAAUGUAUUACCUUGAGGAGCUGCAGAAUUCAAGAGUGGCCAUGUCCUAGUUGGUGGGAAAAAGGAGGAUUUGUCUGGGGCAGCAAGACAGCAGUAAUGUCAACUGAGAUGAGGAUUGGGAUACAUCAGCCCCUGGGAUAUUGGGGUAGGAACUUCAGAAGAGGAGGGAAAUAGAGUGGUGAGGGAGGUUUGGUGAAGUUGGACCUAUCAAUUACAUUAGUUGUUGAUACUUUAUGGGAUGGGAGAGUCCUCUGUGGGUAAUCUGGAAGACUAAUAGUGGUUCUCAAAUUUUAGCCUGCACCAAAAUCUCCUAGAGGACUUGUUAAAAUAGAGUGCUAGGUGUGCCAUCCUGAGUCCCUGAUUUGAUAGGUCUGGGACAGAGCCUGAGAGUUUCCAUUGUUAACAAAUGCAUUUAAGAAAUGCUGAUAGAGCACUAUAUGAGAAACACUGGACUAGACAAAUCACAGCCCACAGGCCUAAUCCAGUCUACCUGUUUUUAUAAACAAAGUUGUAUUGAAACCAUGCUUUCUAGUUUGAACUUUUUUUUUUCAUAAGAUGAUACUCCUUUUAUGCAAGUUCCAUUAAUUUUUAUACAUUUCAUUGCUCAUAAGUUUUAAACUCCUGGUAGUGAUAGCAAUCAGAUUUAUAGAAGUAAGAUUUAUUAUGAAGUUAGGUAGCCUGUGUCUAUUAAUGCCACUGAAUUGCUGGCUAUUUUGAAAAUUGAGAUGUCAGUAUUACAGAUGACUUGAAAUACAAGGUAUCUUUUAUAUGCUUAUAAAGAUGGAAAGAAGCUUUGCAUUUAGCAUUUUCCACUUAGUCUUUGUGAAAACUGUUCUUAUUUUAAAAAUAGCCUUAAUGUGUGUGUGUGUGUGUGUGUGUGUGUAUGUGUGUGUUUCCUGAAUAUUCUAGAUGGUACAUGGUAUUCUGAAAACUGAAAGUCACACCUCCAGGAAUAAAAUUAGGAAAAGUAGAAAUUGGAAGGAGGUCUCUAGAAAUGAUGUAAUAUUAUCUGAAUACCUCAAAUCUAAUCCAGGUCAUCUGGGUAGAAAUUCUGGGAUGGAUUUAUUUAAAUAUAAAUAAAAAUUUGUAUACCUAAAUAAAGAUUGUAUUCUACAUUUGAAGAAAGAGGUUUUUUUUUUUUUUUUAGAGUAAGAGGUGGUUGGCAUGCAUCUAUGAAAGGAAGGAAUUCAAAGUGUGUAGAAUUGGCAAUGUCUCUGGAGAGCAUGCAUUUGCUAUUGGGUGCCAGCCAUUAAGAUGAUCUCAUUCAUUUCUCCUCUGAUUCUGUGAUAGUUAAGUAAUUUUUGGAUCAUAUUUGGCUUCACAUUUGGAUUUGCCUAUAGGAAGAAAAAUGCUGAUUAGUAAAUAGAGGAAGCUGUCUACUUGGUAGUUACAUCUCUCCCCAUGAAUGAUUUUUAUGCAUAAAACCCUAAGAGCUUGGUGAAUUUUUAAACCACCCAGGAUUCAGAUCUUUUUUUUUUUGUACUGAUAGUCACCUCUUACCUUGCAAGACUGAAGGCUGGAUCCCACACUGUGGUCAACAAAUUGAAGUGUUGCUGCGGGGGUCCAGUCAGGGUGACCAACUGACCUAUCUUAGGUAACAUUUAAUUUUAUUGGCCAUAUUUUAAAUUUAAGUUGUCAUUAUUACAACUUAAAUUGUAGAGAACGAGUAGAAUACUAGUAAACUAGGAAAAGGAAGUCUUUCUUGUAGAAAACUAGGAAAAGACAAAGAAGUCUAUUGACAACAGGGAAUAGGCUGGAGAUGAGGACCUGACCCAAGCUGGACCAAUUAGAACCCUUCCUUGGGAGUUUUGAAGCCAAUCUGCCAAGAAAAAAAAAAAAUCCGCUAAUCUACAGAGCGAAGCACAGAUGAAGAUGGACAACAAACACCCUGCCUGCAGUCCAUAUAUUCCCGAGGACCAGGUUUUUGCCAAGUUGCCCAGGCUGGACCAUUGACAUUUUAAGAAAUGUAUGCAUGUCCCUAAAAGGGGAGGUCAGUUUGGGAUCCUCCGUCAUGGAUGAUCCUUUGAAGGAGGAAGACGUCAUCACUAGCAGAAUGGGCUGCACCGCCUGUGUUGUGUGGAUCAGCGUGAUGGAUGGGGAGGAGACCUGAAGAUGCUGCAAUGGCAAAUUUGCUCUACCUGGAGAUGCUGGAUGUCCCUAGAUAUAAAGACCCACAAAAGGAUGCUGGAAGGGCAUGGCUGGAUAGGGGUGGGGUGAAGGAGGAGCUGCAGAUGAGGAAGGAGUCAAGGUGUAGAAUUUGUCUCAAAUUAUUCUUCAAAGCUUCUCAGGUAGGAUUUGGGCAUUUGGGUGCAUUUCUAGAUGCUUCAGUCAGUUGAAGAAAACUGGGGAAACAAAGGUGCCCACAUGACAUGGUGCAUUUGGGUUGUGUCUGUCACCUCACCUUGAGGUUCCCAUGCAUUGAUCUUCUAUUCUCAGUCCAAACAACUUUCAGCCCAAGUAGCACCCUAGCAAUUAAUUGUCCAAAUUCUACCUCGUUGUCUUUCUACCUAGCCACAGAUUUCCUCCCCUCUCAGCUCAAAUGUUUCUUCAAACCAGCAUGUGUGGAGGGAGAGAGGUGGAGGAAGGCAAUGUGCCAUCUUUGUGGCCCAUGUUGAAGAUUUUCCAGGGUACAGGGUAGUGCCACAAUCUCUAGAUGUACAUUAAGGGCUCUGGCUUCCACAUCUAUUUCUGUAGUAACUUUCUGUGCAACCUCUUGUCAUCAUUUCUCUUCUUCAUGCUCUAAUUUACUUUUCUGUAAAACAAGCUGGAGCUGGAACAGAGUUUCAAGCUUUUUUUUUUUUUUUUCUUUGGGACAGAGUCUUGCUCCUUCGCCCAGGCUAGAGUACAGUGGUGCAGUCUCAG